GGCGAUGUCGGCCUGCUUUGAAUUUAAGCAAGAGCGGAAAAAGCGGCCCUCAAGGGCUUAUUUGUUUGCAUCUGACUAUAAGCUAGUUUGAUAACUUUCUCCUCAUUUGCAACCACCGUCGGCCAUUACGCUCUGCCAGGGAACGACGCCAUUGAUGAACCUAAUUAAAGUCACGUUCUUCUUGAUUAAAAACGCUCCAGAUGCUACCCACAAGACCAAAGGAACAUCGCGGCGUCCCGGCUCGCCCCCACCUGUAGCGCCCGCCAGGCCACAUCGCCACGGUUACUCAUUAACCAGGACUUCCUUUAUCCAGCCCAGACAACCAGCAGCAUGACGUGUGUGUUGUUGCUGAAAAGAAGAUGAAAAAGUAUCCCGCCGCUUCCCGUAACUUUCCCGACGCUCCCAAUUGAACCAGUUGGACCAGUUGCCGUGUUUGCUCAGAACCGGCGGCUCUGUUCCACGCUCAUUCUCACUUGCCGUUCACUUUGUCUACAGUUUGUUUUGUUUCCAAGAGUGCACCAGGAAACGGCCUGUGUUUGCUCUGGGAUGGGACGACUCUCAAAAGAUGAGGUGCAGUGUAGGGAUGCAUUUUAUAUCCGUUUAUAUCAAUAUUCACGUGUUAUAACAAUGGAACGCUCAGUCUUGGCUUCAGUGAAAGAGGCCUAAUAAAACAUUUUUUUAAAUAUUAAAAGGCUCGCUGAACUGAGCUCUUGGGAACCUUUAUUUUCU